rnacentral:rRNA from 1 species
GACGUAGGAUGCGAGCGUUUGUCCGGAUUUAUUGGGCGUAAAGAGUUCGUAGGUGGUUCGUUAAGUCUGGUGUAAAAGACUGGGGCUCAACCCUGGGAUCGCACUGGAUACUGGCGGACUGGAGUGUGGUAGAGGCAAGCGGAAUUCCCAGUGUAGCGGUGAAAAUGCGUAGAUAUUGGGAAGAACACCGGUGGCGCAAGCGGCUUGCUGGGCCAUAACUGACACUGAGGAACGAAAGCUAGGGAGCGAACAGG